UACAGAGGGUGCGAGCGUUAAUCGGAAUUACUGGGCGUAAAGCGCACGUAGUCGGCUUUGCAAGUCGGUUGUGAAAUCCCCGGGCUCAACCUGGGAACUGCAUCCGAGACUGCAUUGCUAGAGUAUGGGAGAGGAAAGCGGAAUUUCUGGUGUAGCAGUGAAAUGCGUAGAUAUCAGAAGGAACAUCAGUGGCGAAGGCGGCUUUCUGGACCAAUACUGACGCUGAGGUGCGAAAGCGUGGGGAGCAAACAGG
rnacentral:rRNA from 1 species